rnacentral:rRNA from 1 species
GGGGAAUAUUGGACAAUGGGCGAAAGCCCGAUCCAGCCAUGCCGCGUGAGUGAUGAAGGCCCUAGGGUUGUAAAGCUCUUUUGUGCGGGAAGAUAAUGACGGUACCGCAAGAAUAAGCCCCGGCUAACUUCGUGCCAGCAGCCGCGGUAAUACGAAGGGGGCUAGCGUUGCUCGGAAUCACUGGGCGUAAAGGGUGCGUAGGCGGGUUUCUAAGUCGGAGGUGAAAGCCUGGAGCUCAACUCCAGAACUGCCUUUGAUACUGGAAGUCUUGAGUUCGGGAGAGGUGAGUGGAUCUGCGAGUGUAGAGGUGAAAUUCGUAGAUAUUCGCAAGAACACCAGUGGCGAAGGCGGCUCACUGGCCCGAUACUGACGCUGAGGCACGAAAGCGUGGGGAGCAAAC